rnacentral:tRNA from 1 species
GGGGACAUGGCUCAAUGGCAGAGCAUCUGCUAAGCAUGCAAAAGGACCCAGGUUCAAUCCCUGCCAUCUCCA